AGGUAACCUCCAGCAUACCAUAGUGUCAUAUACAAGAAACACUAGGAAGUUGAUCAUGAAUCUCAUUGAUGAACAGCAGAAAGCCUUGGAAUUUCUCUCAAGUCAGAUAAUCAAGCUCAUGGCCAAAGUAAACACACUUAGUUCACAUGUGCAGAGAAGCUACAGUGACAUCUUUUCCAUGAAGCACAUGGAGUCCCACGGGAGAGACCGUAGUGACAUCCAAGAGACACUAGGUGUCGUGUCUACAAAAAUCCCUAGUGGAAUUUAUAUAAUUCAGCCAGAAAACACAGAUGUUUCCUUUGAGGAAAGUACCUUCUUUUAGUUUUGUUUAAACAUUUCCAACCAGUUAUUUUAAUUUAAAAUCCAAUCAAACAUUCAGCAUCUUAAACUGGCCAUCUAACAGGUGUUCUGUGCGAUGGAUUACAUGGAGGGUGGAUGGACACUAAUACAGAGAUGGACGGAUGGUCUCACUGACUUCAAAUGAAUGUGGUCACAAUACUUGGAUGGAUUUGGACACUUACCGGGUAAACACUAGUUGGGUAUGAGAAAAAUCUUCAAUAUUGUGAAUCAGAGAAACACACGUUU